rnacentral:rRNA from 1 species
UUACCGCGGCUGCUGGCACGUAGUUAGCCGGUGCUUCUUAGUCCGGUACCGUCAUCCAUGGCCUAUGUUAGAGACCACGAUUUCUUCCCGGCCGAAAGAGCUUUACAACCCGAAGGCCUUCUUCACUCACGCGGCAUGGCUGGAUCAGGGUUGCCCCCAUUGUCCAAAAUUCCCCACUGCUGCCUCCCGUAGGAGUCUGGGCCGUGUCUCAGUCCCAGUGUGGCGGAUCAUCCUCUCAGACCCGCUACGGAUCGUCGCCUUGGUGGGCCUUUACCCCACCAACUAGCUAAUCCGACAUCGGCCGCUCCAAUCGCACGAGGUUCCGAAGAAUCCCCCGCUUUCCCCCUCAGGGCGUAUGCGGUAUUAGCGUAGCUUUCGCUACGUUAUCCCCCACGACAUGGGCACGUUCCGAUGCAUUACUCACCCGUUCGCCACUCGCCACCAGGCCGAAGCCCGUGCUGCCGUUCGACUUGCAUGUGUAAAGCAUGCCGCCAGCGUUCAAUCUGAGCCAUGAUCAAACUC